AUUGAACGCUGGCGGCAGGCUUAACACAUGCAAGUCGAGCGGGGGAAGGUAGCUUGCUACUGGACCUAGCGGCGGACGGGUGAGUAAUGCUUAGGAAUCUGCCUAUUAGUGGGGGACAACAUCUCGAAAGGGAUGCUAAUACCGCAUACGUCCUACGGGAGAAAGCAGGGGAUCUUCGGACCUUGCGCUAAUAGAUGAGCCUAAGUCGGAUUAGCUAGUUGGUGGGGUAAAGGCCUACCAAGGCGACGAUCUGUAGCGGGUCUGAGAGGAUGAUCCGCCACACAGGGACUGAGACACGGCCCAGACUCCUACGGGAGGCAGCAGUGGGGAAUAUUGGACAAUGGGGGAACCCUGAUCCAGCCAUGCCGCGUGUGUGAAGAAGGCCUUAUGGUUGUAAAGCACUUUAAGCGAGGAGGAGGCUACUUUAGUUAAUACCUAGAGAUAGUGGACGUUACUCGCAGGAUAAGCACCGGCUAACUCUGUGCCAGCCGCCGCAGUAA
rnacentral:rRNA from 1 species